AGUGAACGCUGGCGGUAGGCCUAACACAUGCAAGUCGAACGGCAGCACAGUAAGAGCUUGCUCUUACGGGUGGCGAGUGGCGGACGGGUGAGGAAUACAUCGGAAUCUACUUUUUCGUGGGGGAUAAUGUAGGGAAACUUACGCUAAUACCGCAUACGACCUACGGGUGAAAGCAGGGGAUCUUCGGACCUUGCGCGAUUGAAUGAGCCGAUGUCGGAUUAGCUAGUUGGCGGGGUAAAGGCCCACCAAGGCGACGAUCCGUAGCUGGUCUGAGAGGAUGAUCAGCCACACUGGAACUGAGACACGGUCCAGACUCCUACGGGCGGCAGCAGUGGGGAAUAUUGGACAAUGGGCGCAAGCCUGAUCCAGCCAUACCGCGUGGGUGAAGAAGGCCUUCGGGUUGUAAAGCCCUUUUGUUGGGAAAGAAAAGCAGCAGGUUAAUACCCCGCUGUUCUGACGGUACCCAAAGAAUAAGCACCGGCUAACUUCGUG
rnacentral:rRNA from 1 species